rnacentral:lncRNA from 1 species
UUGCUACUUUGCUGAGUGUGUUUUGUCUAAUUCAUGGCACUCCAGAACUGUGUCUGUUUUUCCUCACAUUCUCUUUCUUGUCUGCCACAGCAAUAUUCUCAGCAAACCAUCCGACGGCAACUCCUGUGAUCACAAAAGUCAAGCACUGAUGGAAAUGAAGACCACGACCCCGAUUCCUCAGGUGCCGGAUUGAUGGGACUGCAAAUGUGUAAAGUCUUGCACAGGAAACCCCCCAGCACAGCCAUUCAGAGGCUCUCAACUCCUGCUGGACCCAAACACAAGAAACCAGGAGGCGCAGACCCCAUCUCUCAUUUUGCACCUCGGGAAACGAUUUUGCAUCCAGCUGUACUCCAGAUGUUUAUAUAGAAACUUCACAGCAGACAUGAUGGUGGCGCA